GUCCCGAUCACGCCCCCAUCGCAGAGUCCUCACCAUGGGGCGCCUGCCAUCCCCCGGCACUGCUGCAGAUCCACCACGCGCGGCGCGGGCAGCCAGCGUCGCCAUCACCGUCCCGUCCUCGCCACGCCCGACGCGCCCCCCGACGCGGAUUCCCCAUGCGCGGCUACCGCCCCCAUCGCCGUCCUCGCCGGGCCAUCCCCACCCCCGCCGCGGAUUCCCCACCACGAAUCCCCAUACACACGCCAUCCUUGCCGUGCCCGACCCGCCCCCAGCCACGGAUCCCCCAUAUGCGGCGUGUGCGGCCCCCGUCCCCGCCGUCACUGGAACGACUUGCAUUGGAGGAUGACGGGCACACCUUCAGCCCGAGCAAGGAGCUCCAGCCGCUGCCAUCCCCGACCGCGCGCUGCAACUCCGCCGCCCAUCGCGCCGCCCCGCCAGAGAUCCGCCAUCCGCGACGCGCGCCUCGGCUCAUCCGUCCCCGAUGCACCGUCCCAUAUGGCGGUGGCGUUAGCCCACGAAGGAACAGCUCGAGCAUCAGGCACCGGGGAUCGACGAGCGGCCAUCCAGAACGGUGCUUGGGCAUGGGCUCCUCUUCCUCCAAGCAGCGAUGAAGAGUGCCGCCGGGCUGGCAUGCCGGGGAAGAGGACGACGGAAGGGAGCAGGGUCAAUUGAACCAUGUUCUUCAAUUCUCUGCUUGGAUCAAGAGAGGAACAUGGCGGGAUCGCCUUGGGGGUACCAACAAGAACCUCAUCAUCAACGACCUUUUAGGUACAUCGGAAAGCGGAAUACAGGAGGGUUGUCAUUGACGUUGAAUUAAUUUGAUGAAAAACUUGGACUUAGGUUAUGGUUGACUUAAUGGGAUGAUCCUUUCCUGACCUGAUAUGUGUUCAAGCUUCAUCAGUUAGGUCCUCUGCUUAAUAGUAGCAAAUAUGUCUUGUAUCAGUUUUGUCCCUGAACAUGCACAUUAGCACAGCUACAGCUCUACACAGUAUAUAUGUAAGUUUGAUGAAAUUAGGAUCUUGGACGAAAUUAAUGGGAUGAUCUUCUUUUUUGUUUUGCUGCAACAGUGGUAUUCUGUUCUGUAUGAUCAAAGCUUGGAUCAACUCCCUUAUGUUUGCCACACCAAGUUCCCAGCUUACCAAGUGAGCAAAUAUUGAAGAACAAUUCCUUUUUUUUCUUCACUUUUCCACCUUGUUUGUUCAACCUGAAUACAAAGGUACAUUAUCUUUUA